UUAAAAGUUAUAAGACCAGUUUGACGACAGUGAAUGCAUAUAUUUAAUUUUUUUUUUUUUAAAUGUCCCUUAUAAAAUGUUCCUCCAAUAUGGCUGCUAAAAGAUAUGUGAUGUCAAUGCAAAGCCUCUAUCAGUUCCUAAACGUGCAUGUGUACGGUUCGACAAUUUGCUGCUGGCAAUAAAAAAACCCUCACUGUCUCCCCCCUGCCACUACCAAUCAUCUGUUUGUGUCUUUGCAUGUUAACACCCC